rnacentral:rRNA from 1 species
AUUGAACGCUGGCGGCAUGCUUUACACAUGCAAGUCGAACGGUAACAGGCCUUCGGGUGCUGCCGAGUGGCGAACGGGGGAGUAAUGCAUCGGAACGUGCCCAGCGGUGGGGGGUAACGCAGCGAAAGCUGUGCUAAUACCGCAUGUGAUCUGAGGAUGAAAGCGGGGGACCAGGCAGCAAUGUUUGGCCUCGCGCCUUUGGAGCGGCCGAUGUCAGAUUAGGUAGUUGGUGGGGUAAAGGCCUACCAAGCCGACGAUCUGUAGCUGGUCUGAGAGGACGACCAGCCACACUGGGACUGAGACACGGCCCAGACUCCUACGGGAGGCAGCAGUGGGGAAUUUUGGACAAUGGGCGCAAGCCUGAUCCAGCAAUGCCGCGUGCGGGAAGAAGGCCUUCGGGUUGUAAACCGCUUUUGUACGGAACGAAAAGGCUCUGGCUAAUACCUGGGGCUGAUGACGGUACCGGAAGAAUAAGCACCGGCUAACUACGUG